CCAUGCAAGAGAGUGGGAGCGAUAUAUGCACAGUUCACACGUGUUGUUUUGCAUGAUCAGAUGGCGAUGGUGGCUUGUGGGUGCGAUUGGAUGGCCAUAUGAGCUUGCAGGGAUUUUUUAAGUUCUGUUAAGACUCUGAUUUUAGUUUGGACUCAAUUUUGAGGCCUUUAAAAGGAGCCCGAUGGCCUGGGAGUGAGGUGUAGCGGUUGAGAGCACCCGAGAGG
rnacentral:lncRNA from 1 species